rnacentral:rRNA from 1 species
GAUGAACGCUAGCUACAGGCUUAACACAUGCAAGUCGCGGGGCAGCAUGGGGGUUGCUUGCACUCCCCGAUGGCGACCGGCGCACGGGUGAGUAACGCGUAUCCAACCUGCCCUUCACCACGGGAUAACCCGGCGAAAGUCGGACUAAUACCGUAUGUUGUCCAUUGACGGCAUCCGAUUUGGACGAAAGGCUUGGCGGUGAGGGAUGGGGAUGCGUCCGAUUAGCCAGACGGCGGGGUAACGGCCCACCGUGGCUACGAUCGGGAGGGGUUCUGAGAGGAAGGUCCCCCACACUGGAACUGAGACACGGUCCAGACUCCUACGGGAGGCAGCAGUGAGGAAUAUUGGUCAGUGGGCGUAAGCCUGAACCAGCCAAGUAGCGUGCAGGAUGACGGCCCUAUGGGUUGUAAACUGCUUUUAUGCGGGGAUAAAGUGGCCCACGUGUGGGCUUUUGCAGGUACCGCAUGAAUAAGGACCGGCUAAUUCCGUG